rnacentral:rRNA from 1 species
UGAGUAACACGUGAGUAACCUGCCUUACACAAGGGGAUAGCCAUUGGAAACGAUGAAUAAUACCCUAUGAAGUAGCCUAAUCGCAUGGUUAAGCUACCAAAGUGCUUAGUGGUGUAAGAUGGACUUGCGUCUGAUUAGCUAGUUGGUGAGAUAAAAGCCCACCAAGGCGACGAUCAGUAGCCGGCUUGAGAGAGUGUACGGCCACAUUGGGACUGAGACACGGCCCAAACUCCUACGGGAGGCAGCAGUGGGGAAUUUUGCACAAUGGGGGAAACCCUGAUGCAGCGACGCCGCAUGAUUUAGAAAGUCUUCGGAUUGUAAAAAUCUUUUGUAUAGGAAGAAAAUGACAGUACUAUACGAAUAAGGUCCGGCUAAUUACGUGCCAGCAGCCGCGGUAAUACGUAAGGACCGAGCGUUGUCCGGAAUCAUUGGGCGUAAAGGGUACGUAGGCGGUCUAGUAAGUUAGAAGUGAA